rnacentral:rRNA from 1 species
CAGCCGCCGCGGGAACACGUAGGUGGCGAGCGUUGUCCGGAAUUAUUGGGCGUAAAGGGAGCGCAGGCGGACAUAUAAGUCCAUCUUAAAAGUGCGGGGCUCAACCCCGUGAGGGGAUGGAAACUGUAUGCCUUGAGUGCAGGAGAGGAAAGCGGAAUUCCCAGUGUAGCGGUGAAAUGCGUAGAUAUUGGGAGGAACACCAGUGGCGAAGGCGGCUUUCUGGACUGCAACUGACGCUGAGGCUCGAAAGCCAGGGGAGCGAACGGGAUUAGAUACCCCUGUAGUCCCUGUCUCUUAUACA